rnacentral:rRNA from 1 species
UCCGUAGGUGGAUAAUUAAGUCAGAGGUGAAAUCCUGCAGCUCAACUGUAGAAUUGCCUUUGAUACUGGUUAUCUUGAAUUAUUGUGAAGUAGUUAGAAUAUGUAGUGUAGCGGUGAAAUGCAUAGAUAUUACAUAGAAUACCAAUUGCGAAGGCAGAUUACUAACAAUAUAUUGACACUGAUGGACGAAAGCGUGGGGAGCGAACAGGAUUAGAUACCCUGGUAGUC